rnacentral:lncRNA from 1 species
GUUUAAGAGACCGAUGCAAUUCACACACCUCACCGACACAAUUCUCGAGGAGUGGUCCUCUAACCAUUCCCUCCUCAGAGACCAGGGACCUCCCGGCCCACAUCACUCAUGUUCAUCAGAAGGACGGAAAACUUGGGUGGCUUUUUUUUUCUGCUUGUAGAUCCAGUUCCUGUCCUGCAGGAGCUUUGGCAACUGGUGUCUGGUCAGGUUUGGCCCAUGGGGGGUGGGAACAGGCGUGUGGAGGAGGGGAGAGGCUGGGCUUUCUUCUGCUCUGGUUUCACGUUGGGCAGCCGCAGCCCUGGCUUGAGAAUCCCUGGACCUCUGAGCAGAAAUCUGAGGGCUGUACGAGGGCUGAGCCCCGGAGGCAGCUGGGGAAGAGAAUCCAUGGAAGGUCGGGCUGGAGCUGCCCCCGCUCCAGGGCCAGCUGGCCUGGAACCUGCGGACGACACCGAGUGGGAAGAACACAGAACACAGCACCCGGACAUGAAACCCUCCAUUCCAGUCGUCCCUAAAACAAGCUCUUCCUCUGCUGCUCCCCCUGGGGCAAGAAAAUCUCAAUCCUAUUGUUUUAACGUAGAGUUGAAUUUCUGUCUCUUACAGUGCAAAAGUCCUAACUAGUAAACUCAAUUUUUCUGUCUGUU